rnacentral:rRNA from 1 species
AUAUUGGACAAUGGGGGCAACCCUGAUCCAGCCAUGCCGCGUGAGUGAAGAAGGCCUUCGGGUUGUAAAGCUCUUUCGACGGGGACGAUGAUGACGGUACCCGUAUAAGAAGCCCCGGCAAACUUCGUGCCAGCAGCCGCGGUAAUACGAAGGGGGCCAGCGUUGUUCGGAAUUACUGGGCGUAAAGCGCGCGUAGGCGGUAAACCAUGUCAGGGGUGAAAUCCCGGGGCUCAACCCCGGAAUUGCCUUUGAAACGGGUUUGCUAGAGUCCGAGAGAGGAUGGCGGAAUUCCUAGUGUAGAGGUGAAAUUCGUAGAUAUUAGGAAGAACACCGGUGGCGAAGGCGGCCAUCUGGCUCGGUACUGACGCUCAGGCGCGAAAGCGUGGGGAGCAAACAGG